UGAGUAGGCGGUUGCAUAUGUCAGAUGUAAAAGGCACAGGCUUAACUUGUGUUAGCAUUUGAAACUGUGCGACUUGAGUGCAGGAGAGGUAAGUGGAAUUCCUAGUGUAGCGGUGAAAUGCGUAGAUAUUAGGGGGAACACCAGUGGCGAAGGCGACUUACUGGACUGUAACUGACGCUGAGUCACGAAAGCGUGGGUAGCAAACA
rnacentral:rRNA from 1 species